GAUGAGAACGUAGCGAAAUGCGAUAAGUAAUGUGAAUUGCAGAAUUCAGUGAAUCAUCGAAUCUUUGAACGCACAUUGCGCCCGCCAGUAUUCUGGCGGGCAUGCCUGUCUGAGCGUCAUUUCAACCCUCAUGCCCCUAGGGCGUGGUGUUGGGGAUCGGCCAAAGCCCGCGAGGGACGGCCGGCCCCUAAAUCUAGUGGCGGACCCGUCGUGGCCUCCUCUGCGAAGUAGUGAUAUUCCGCAUCGGAGAGCGAUGAGCCCCUGCCGUUAAACCCCCAACUUUCCAAGGUUGACCUCAGAUCAGGUAGGAAUACCCGCUGAACUUAAGCAUAUCAAUAAGCGGAGGA
rnacentral:misc_RNA from 1 species